rnacentral:rRNA from 1 species
GAUGAACGCUGGCGGCGUGCCUAAUACAUGCAAGUCGAGCGAACGGACGAGAAGCUUGCUUCUCCGAUGUUAGCGGCGGACGGGUGAGUAACACGUGGAUAACCUACCUAUAAGACUGGGAUAACUUCGGGAAACCGGAGCUAAUACCGGAUAAUAUUUUGAACCGCAUGGUUCAAAAGUGAAGGACGGUCUUGCUGUCACUUAUAGAUGGAUCCGCGCUGCAUUAGCUAGUUGGUAAGGUAACGGCUUACCAAGGCAACGAUGCAUAGCCGACCUGAGAGGGUGAUCGGCCACACUGGAACUGAGACACGGUCCAGACUCCUACGGGAGGCAGCAGUAGGGAAUCUUCCGCAAUGGGCGAAAGCCUGACGGAGCAACGCCGCGUGAGUGAUGAAGGUCUUCGGAUCGUAAAACUCUGUUAUUAGGGAAGAACAUAUGUGUAAGUAACUGUGCACAUCUUGACGGUACCUAAUCAGAAAGCCACGGCUAACUACGUG